UUCACAUCAGCCAAUAAGGUUGAUUGUCCCGCCCCUUUAACGGCUGUGCUGAGAUUUUGCUCAGAUUGCGUUAGACACGCUUGAGAGCUCAGAGCUGAUGGUUGUUUCCGCUAAUAGCCUGGAAAUCUUGUCAAAUUCGAUGAAGAAUCUUGGAAAUAGAAAGCUUCCCUUGUGAACGGUUGAAAGCCCGGAAAAAUCCCCGUGUAGAGUCGUGUAGCAUCGAAGCAUCGGUCAGGUUUUUUGGUUAUAGUGCACUUUUGGCCUGUGGUGCCUCGAAACCACCAGAUCAUCCUCUCCUGAACUUGGAUGGCGAGCCCCAGCCCAGAGGACCGAGUGAACUGGUAGAUUGUGACCCCACUGGUCACUGGCUGUGAGACAUUGAAUGAAUAUUUGACAGACGUAUCAAAAAGACUGGGUUAUUUAUGUUAUUUUAUUUUGUUGGUUUUUUUUUGUUUUUUAAAGCGCGCAAUUUUUGUUUAUUUGUAAAUGUGGAUCCACAAAUGUUCACUAUAUUAAACCCUACUCUUUUUCAUAGA